rnacentral:lncRNA from 1 species
GACUCUUGGAUGGGUUUAUGUUCAAUCUAAAGCAUCGUUAACUAUCCAUAGCAUGUAGAGGCAAUACCAGCUUAAAAACUGUCCUUCUUUAUGAACAAAAACUGACAAAAACGGUCCAUUAAACAUUGAUGAAGUUUGGGACUUUUCACUUUAUUAGGUUUUCUCUAUCACAACAAAAUGAAAAUAAUUAAUGAAAAAGUGAAGAGACCAUUUAAUUUGGGACUCAGUUUCAAUUCAGCCUAGCCCGUAUAUUUAGAAAUGCC